rnacentral:rRNA from 1 species
UACGUAGGGGGCAAGCGUUGUCCGGAAUCAUUGGGCGUAAAGAGCGUGUAGGCGGCUCGGUAAGUCCGCUGUAAAAGUCCAGGGCUCAACCCUGGAAAGCCGGUGGAAACUGUCGAGCUAGAGUCCGGAAGAGGCGAGUGGAAUUCCUGGUGUAGCGGUGAAAUGCGCAGAUAUCAGGAGGAACACCAAGUGGCGAAGGCAGGCUCGCUGGGACGGUACUGACGCUGAGACGACGAAAGCGUGGGGAGCAAACAGG